AUGGGUGUAACUCAUAUGAAAAAAGUCAUUCUAGAGUCUGCUACUUCGAGGAAGCAGAUAGUUGAAUUUGAUGGAUUGAAUCCUGUCAUGUCAAGCAGCACUGCAUUUAAAAGUUAUGUUGCAUUAUUGGGACGAGUCAGAGUUCGUAUCACAAUAGAGUCAUGGCUUAAGGUCCCAGUAGAGACUAAGGAGCUUAUUUGGCAAGAUAUUCUGAGUACUUAUAAUAUUCCCAACACAACCGAAAUGAAGCGCCAUUGGAUGAAAUAUGUGGGUGAACGAUGGAAAGAUUUUAAAACAAAAUUGGUCAACCAGUAUAUAUACGGUACUUUGUCACAUAAAACUAUGUGAUAAAUACUCGUACCUUGACCAAGAGACCUGGAAUGAGUUUGUUCAGCAUCAUACAUGUCUAGAAUAUGAGGCAAUAAGAAAAAAACAUCAAGGCAUACAAGCUAAGAAUGUUCAUACACAUGUUUUAGCUCGUGGAGGCUAUCAAAGGUUG